UACGGAGGGAGCUAGCGUUGUUCGGAUAUACUGGGCGUAAAGCGCACGUAGGCGGCGCGGUAAGUCAGGGGUGAAAUCCUGGAGCUCAACUCCAGAACUGCCUUUGAUACUGAGGAUCUUGAGUUCGGGAGAGGUGAGUGGAACUGCGAGUGUAGAGGUGAAAUUCGUAGAUAUUCGCAAGAACACCAGUGGCGAAGGCGGCUCACUGGCCCGAUACUGACGCUGAGGCACGAAAGCGUGGGGAGCAAACAG
rnacentral:rRNA from 1 species